rnacentral:rRNA from 1 species
CAGCAGCCGCGGGAAUACCGAGGGUGCGAGCGUUAAUCGGAUUUACUGGGCGUAAAGCGUGCGUAGGCGGCUAAUUGAGUCGGAUGUGAAAUCCCCGAGCUUAACUUGGGAAUUGCAUUCGAUACUGGUUAGCUAGAGUGUGGGAGAGGAUGGUAGAAUUCCAGGUGUAGCGGUGAAAUGCGUAGAGAUCUGGAGGAAUACCGAUGGCGAAGGCAGCCAUCUGGCCUAACACUGACGCUGAGGUACGAAAGCAUGGGGAGCAAACAGGAUUAGAUACCCGAGUAGUCCCUGUCUCUUAUAA